rnacentral:rRNA from 1 species
AUGCAACGCGAAAACCUUAACCACCUUUGUACAUGUACGGAAGUCCUUUAGUAGAUAGAGGAGUGCUCGAAAGAGAGCCGUAACACAGGUGCUGCAUGGCUGUCGUCAGCUCGUGUCGUGAGAUGUUGGGUUAAGUCCCGCAACGAGCGCAACCCUUGUCAUUAGUUGCUACAUUCAGUUGGGCACUCUAAUGAGACUGCCGGUGACAAACCGGAGGAAGGUGGGGAUGACGUCAAGUCCUCAUGGCCCUUAUAGGUGGGGCUACACACGUCAUACAAUGGAUGGUACAAAGGGUCGCCAACCCGCGAGGGGGAGCCAAUCCCAUAAAGCCAUUCGUAGUCCGGAUCGCAGUCUGCAACUCGACUGCGUGAAGUCGGAAUCGCUAGUAAUCGUGGAUCAGCCAAGCCGCGGUGAAUACGUUCCCGGGCCUU